rnacentral:rRNA from 1 species
UACAGAGGUCUCAAGCGUUGUUCGGAUUCAUUGGGCGUAAAGGGUGCGUAGGUGGCGGGGUUAGUCAGGUGUGAAAUCUCGGGGCUCAACCCCGAGACUGCACUUGAUACUGCCUUGCUAGAGUACUGGAGAGGAGAUUGGAAUUUACGGUGUAGCAGUGAAAUGCGUAGAUAUCGUAAGGAAGACCAGUGGCGAAGGCGAAUCUCUGGACAGUUACUGACACUGAGGCACGAAGGCCAGGGGAGCAAACGGG